AUUGAACGCUGGCGGCAGGCCUAACACAUGCAAGUGGAGCGAAGCGGGGACGGGUGAGUAACACGUGGAUAACCUCCUAUAAGAAUGGGAUAACUUAGGGAAACCGGAGCUAAACCGGAUACUUAUAGAUGGAUCCGCGCUCCAUUAGCUAUGUGGUAAGGUAACGGCUUACCAAGGCAACCAUGCAUAGCUGACCUGAGUGGGGGAUCGGCCACACUGGAACUGAGCAGCGGUACAGACUCCUACGGGAGGCAGCAGUAGGGAAUCGUCCGCAAUGGGCGAAAGCCUACCGGGGCAACGCCGCGGGAGUGGUGAAGGUCUUAGGAUCGUCAAACUCUGUUGUUAGUGAAGCGGUACCUAAUCGGAAAGCCACGGCUAACUACGUGCCAGCAGCCGCGGUAAUAC
rnacentral:rRNA from 1 species